UACAUAGGCCCCAAGCGUUAUCCGGAAUCACUGGGCGUAAAGAGUGCGUAGGCGGAGAGGCAAGUCAGACGUGAAAGAUACGGGCUCAACCCGUUAUUAGCGUCCGAAACUGCCUCCCUAGAAUCGGGGAGAGGUAAGCAGAACUGUAUGAGUAGGGGUGCAAUCCGUUGAUACAUACAAGAAUACCAAAAGCGAAGGCAGCUUACUGGAACCGCAUUGACGCUGAGGCACGAAAGCGUGGGGAGCGAAAAGG
rnacentral:rRNA from 1 species